rnacentral:rRNA from 1 species
AUGGGGCGGUCGCCGUGCUGCGACGGGGAGGCUGGCGUGAAGAAGGGCCCGUGGACGCCCGAGGAGGACAAGCUGCUGGUGGACUACAUCCAGGAGAAGGGGCACGGCAGCUGGCGCCACGUGCCCAAGCUCGCCGGCCUCAACCGCUGCGGCAAGAGCUGCCGCCUCCGCUGGACCAACUACCUCCGCCCCGACAUCAAGCGCGGCCGCUUCACCGACGACGAGGAGAAGCUCAUCAUCCACCUCCACUCCCUCCUCGGUAACAAGUGGUCGUCGAUUGCUACGAAGCUGCCGGGGAGGACGGACAACGAGAUCAAGAACUACUGGAACACGCACCUGCGCAAGAAGCUGCUCGGCAUGGGCACCGACCCCGUCACGCACCGCCCGCGCACGGACCUAAGCCUGCUCGCCGGGCUCCCGGGUCUCCUCGCGGCAGCCGGUAACUUCGGCGGCGCCGGCUCGGCCACGGGCGCCUGGGACAUGAACGCGCUCAGGCUGCAGGCCGACGCCGCCAAGUUCCAGCUGCUUCAGGGGCUGGUGCGCGCGCUCACCGCCGCCGCCGUGCCCGCGCCCGCACCCGGCAUGGACAAGCUCAUGGCACUCCUUGCUGCCAGCAACGGUGGGCAGAACGGCGCCGGCAUUGACCAGAGCAUGCUGCUCCAGCAGUGCCAGUGGGACGGCAUGAACAACCUGCCGGCGCUUACCAGCUCCACGCCGGUGAACGGCAUGGACAACGUCAGCGGCAUGUUCGACGGUUUCGGCGCCGGGGAUGGGCUGAGCUCAACGGAGUUUGGGGGCUAUGGCGGGGAGAGCGGGAGCAACGUGACCGUGGACGCGGUGGCGCCAGCGCGCCCAAUGGUGGCCAACGACCAGGAGUGCAACAACAAUGGCGGCGGCGGUGUGUCGUGCGACCAGACGCCGGCGUCGAGCCCGUUCAACGGGCUGGAGAGCCUAAACCUGAUGGAUGACCUCAACACAGACGGUAGUUGGAAGGAUUUGCUAGAGCAAAUGUCAUGGCUGAACUCAAGUGAGCUGUGA